rnacentral:rRNA from 1 species
AGUGAACGCUGGCGGUAGGCCUAACACAUGCAAGUCGAACGGCAGCACAGGAGAGCUUGCUCUCUGGGUGGCGAGUGGCGGACGGGUGAGGAAUACAUCGGAAUCUACUCUGUCGUGGGGGAUAACGUAGGGAAACUUACGCUAAUACCGCAUACGACCUACGGGUGAAAGCAGGGGACCUUCGGGCCUUGCGCGAUUGAAUGAGCCGAUGUCGGAUUAGCUAGUUGGCGGGGUAAAGGCCCACACAGGCGACGAUCCGUAGCUGGUCUGAGAGAAUGAUCAGCCACACUGGAACUGAGACACGGUCCAGACUCCUACGGGGAGCAGGAGUGGGUAAUAUUGGACAAUGGGCGCAAGCCUGAUACAGCCAUACCGCGUGGGUGAAGAAGGCCUUCGGGUUGUAAAGCCCUUUUGUUGGGAAAGAAAUCCGGCUGGCUAAUACCCGGUUGGGAUGGCGGUACCCAAAGAAUAAGCGCCGGCUAACUUCGUGCCAGCAGCCGCGGUAA